AUCAUUCAUCGUAUCGCAUCAUUCAUCAUAUCGUAUCAUUCAUCGUAUCGCAUCAUUCAUCGUAUCGCAUCAUUCAUCAUAUCGUAUCAUUCAUCGUAUCGCAUCAUUCAUCGUAUCGCAUCAUUCAUUGUAUCGCAUCAUUCCUCGUAUCGCAUCAUUCCUCGUAUCGUAUCAUUCAUCGUAUCGCGCCAUUCAUCAUAUCGUAUCAUUCAUCGUAUCGCAUCAUUCAUCGUAUCGUCUCUCGUCGUUUCGCUCAUCAGGCUCAGGCUUCGCUGAAACUCAAAGGUUAAAACGGCGUCAGGCUGAACUUCCUGCAGAGCUUCAGUUUCAACUUCUGGUUUGAAUUUCUUUGUCUUUAUUUGCUGAAAGGUUUUAUGGAGCUGCAGCUUUAAUCCCAGUAAGUUCCUCCUGAACUCCUUCUGCCCAGUUAGAGUCCUGCUGGUCCCAGUUUGCUUCCUGUCCGGCGGUGCUGCAGCGUACCUGAGUGAACCUGCAGAGGUGACCCCUCCCCGCGCCGCCUCCGCCGGGUCGCCGUGGGAACGUUUGAAGUGUCUGUAGUUUUCAUUUCGUGUCUCUUUUGGUCGACCUGACGUUUACAUCCAACGCUGCAUGUGACCUGCAUACCGAACGCAGUGGAGGGGAGGAGACGAAGAGACGGACAGGAAGGUGCUGCAGAUGAAGGUUUGAAGCUUCAGCUCUCAAAUGAAAUGAAGUGAAAUCAGUUAGAAGGAAAAAAUGCUGCAGAUCAGCUGAAUCCAUCAUCUUCCACAUUUAAGAUGCUGCAUAAAUAAUUAGAGAUUUCCAGGAACUGAAGCUUUGAAUGUUUCUCCACACAUCAUGUUUUUCCCUAAACUUGUAUCACCAAGCAGCAGCCAGAGCAGCUUCCUCAUCCUCAUCCUCAUCCUCAGAUUGUGUUUGGUUGAACUGUGGAACGCCACAAAGCUGCUUCCUGACAGGAAGUAGACGGUUUGGACCGAGGCGAUACAAGAACUCUGAAAACUGCAAGUCCAAAACCUGAAGGUCACAUGGAGCGCCGGGAAAACUGAUGAGAUUUCAUUUUAGAGAUUUUUGUCAUCAUUGUAGCUCCUUAUGUAGCACAGACCAUCAGCAGCCUGUAAUCUGUUAGCAUCGGCUAACAUUAAACACCUUCAGUUAAACUGCAGUUUGUUUGUUGGUUUGAUCUCUGAAUCACUGAAGUGACAAUAAAUCCUGUUUCUGCUUUUGGGUCUUUAUUUCUGUUUUAUGGACAUUUUGUGUCUCUGACUAAAAACUGUUUUUAUUCUGUUAUUUUGUUUCUCUUUCUGUGGGAAUAAUAAACGUCUUUUCUUCUUCAUGAUUCUUUCUCUCUUUCUCUCUGAAGCUUCACAGAUCCAACGAACCAGGAGAGACGAACAUGACAUCAGUUUACUGGGUUUUCCAGCUGACUAAUCAGAGCUGGGUUGGAGGUUUUCAUCCUGAACAGAAAAUUUACAGUUUUCUGUGGGUCACAGAACCAGAACCCAGAGUCCGGUACCGGCCUGAUGUUCAUCUGGAAGAUGCCAGGAUGAGCCGUUGUGUUACUGACUGGAGGUUGUUUUAUGUGUGUGGGUGUGUGUGUGUGGUCCGGUUCUAAUCCAAUGGAUUCUUUAAAGGUUGGUGUUCAGUGUUUGUUACCAACAUUAAGAUGUUUUUAUCUUUUCCUCAUAAAGAUAAAAACUUGAACUGAUGUCAGAUUCUGUCAAAGGAAACGAAGUUUGAUCUGCUGAGUCACAAAGGAAAGAGACUAAAGAGACGCCUGGUUGGUUCAGACUGAUGUAAGUCCAGGUGUCGGUGUGUGUGUGUGUCAGCGUGUGUGUGUGUGUGUGUGUGUGUUAGUACUAUUAAUUAAACCUGAUAAUUAAUGUGAACUGAUGAUGUUUGACGUGUUAAAACGAGACGUAAGCUGACUCAGCAGAAUGAAGACAUGUUGGAAUAAUGAUCAGAACCGUUUCAGAACCAGGAGUUUUAUGUUGGUUCUGUUUGGAUUAAUUGCCAGAAUCUUGUCAGAACCAACCUGGUGUUUUAAACCUGCUGGCAGAUUUAAGUUUCUGUCUCUUUGUCACAUUUUAGGUAUUAAAGUUUUGAAAUGGAAAAUAUUUAUAUUUUUCUGGGUUUAAAUAUUUGUGCAUCAGUGGUAAACAUGUGAUUAUAUGCGGUUCUGAAGCGAAUCUAGCGGGAACAUGUAACAUAUAAUGAAAGCCUGCCUCUCGGCCGUCCCGGCGCUGGACCAACCGGGUCGGGUCAUUUCGCAGCGACGGCCCAGACGGCUUACAUAAAGCAGACGUUUGUUUGUGCGUUUCUCUGGAACCCGAUUCUCUGCUGUCGCCUCUAAUUGCUGCUCUGCACAAACACUUUUUCUGGUUCUGACCAGUGUUUGCUUCUUCUGUUUAAUUUAUCCUCCUAUUUAUACUCACAGCACUUUACAAAUGCAAACAUGUCGGGUCCAGACUGACACACAGAAAGUGAAUUUUCUCCUCCUCGGUGUUUUCAGCAGAUGAAUGUUUCAUCCUGCGCUGUGAUACCAGAUGUUUAUGUAACCUUAUUUAUUUUUGAUGAUCUGUGAUCAGACAGAUCCUCCUCCAGCCUCACAUCAGAUCAUGGGAGGAAAACAAAACAUCUUUCGGUGCUUGGAGUCGAUCCUUCCUGCUUCAAUCAGGAGCUGCUGAUCAUCUUCAGCUUCCUGCUCCAGGUGUGACGUAACAACGCAAAGCAGUGACCUCAGCUGGUUGUCGCUCCACGGAAGGUCAAAGGUCGUCUCCAAACCACCAUUUUCCAAGAGGAAAACAUCUUUGGAUCUUUAAAAGAUUGGAUGUCCAAACAGAUUUAGCCCAAAGCAGAGUCUACAGGUCUCAGUUAGGGUCAAAGGUUAAAGGUCACCUCAGCCCAGGCAGAAGGAGAGCGCUUCAUGAGGUCUGAUGGAAAAAGGAACCUGAGGCCAGGAAAGCAGGUAAGGAUCUGACCCAAUCAGACAAUGAGAGACAGAAUAACUUCUCCUGUUUUAGUGAAAAGAUGUGACAGAACUGGAUCCAGUCCUCCAGGUUCUGGUCCAGUCCUCCAGGUUCUGGUCCAGUCCUCCAGGUUCUGGUCCAGUUCUGGUCCAGUUCAUGCCUCUCGUCAGGACUCUGGGUUUGGUUUUGAUCUUAUAUCUUAGUUCUCUUGGCCCUUCAUGUCCUUCUGAUUUUGUUAUUUGAGGUAUUCAGAGUUAAAUGUCUUAUUGCUUCUUUAUCAGUGUUUCUAGUUCGGUUUAUUAUUUAGUUGCCUAAGGUUUUGUUCUUGUAAGUGUGAGUCUAUGCUGAGCUUUUUUAGUCAUUAUAGUUUAUUUUUAUUCCUUAUUUCAGCCUCUCUGCAGGUUUCUAGUCAUGUUACCUUUGAGUUAUUUCAUCGCUGUAGGUUCAGUUAUUCUUACCUUCCUUUAGUAAUUCUAGUUAUUUCUUUGUUUAGAUCUUCUAGUUUCUCUAGCUCUACGUUCCUUAGUUCUUAUUAUUGUUAGAUCUUCCUUCUUUCUGUUUAGGUUUGCUCAUGUUCUCCCUCAGGUCUUUUUCUCUUGUAGUUUAUCAGAUUUUCUUUUCUUAGUGUUUCUUUAGUAUUAGAAGUAUUUCCAGCUCCUUGGUGUUUCCUCCAUGUUUUCCCCAGUAGAUCUCUGUAGCUUCUCCGCGCCUCUCAGCUACUUCCUGUGCCACCUGCUCACACCUGCAGUCAUCUCCUCUAGCUGGGCCCAUUGGUCCAUUUACUGCCUCCCAGUACUUAAGCUCCUCUAUCCCAGUCACAACUCGCCAGUCCGUCUUGGUACCUUGCUCACCAUGUUGCUAGUCACUACCUGCGAUUGGACACAGCAGGUCCGAUUGGACCUGCUGCGAUUGGGUCCACUCCUACACACAUCAUGACACCUCCUCCUCCUCCUGCUGUGUUCUGCUGAUUACCGUGACGACGGAGCCGGAACCGGAACCAAGCCGGAUUCUGCUGCUGGUCCAACAGAUUUCUGUUUUCAUCCAAGCCACGGUCUAGACGCUUUCAGAGAAAGAAUCUGAGCUUCCUCUGAAAGGUCACGGGGUCAAAGGGUCAUAUUAGUUAAUGAUGAACCAACAGUAGGAGAAACUCUUCACCACCUUCAGUCACAUCCUGAACAUCAUCACAGGUCUGGGACGUCGCCAUGACUCCCAAACGCCCUUUGACCUGAACCUGGAAGGACGGAGCGAUAAAAUCAAACAUUUAAUUCCAGGAGAGUUCAAGGCCAUCUGUAUUUCCGCCAACAGAAAUAUUACUAGAUGAGGUCCACAGAGCUUCCUGUCCCAUUCAGUUCUGGUUCUGUACUGACCCAAACGUUCCUCUGUUCCAGUUUCAGCCAGUCCUCCCAGUUUCCCAGAGAUCAUCAAACUGCUGUGAUAACUCAUGAGUCAGAUGAAUGCUUCAGCAUAAAUCAUUUUACUUUUUAAAACUUUCUAACAGGAUCUGUUUCUCAGACUCUGACUAACGCAGAGUCAGCUUCCCAAAGCUGAACUUCUCCAGGUUUAUUUCCCAGAAAGUGAGAGUUGUUGUCCUUCAGUGGACGGCGUCCCGACCUGGACGUCUCGUCAUCAGGCUGUCCCACUCAAACACACGGCUCAGUCAGAAAACCACACAGCUUCCUGUUGCUCUCUCUCGCUCUGCUGCAGGAGAAACCCAGACUGACUUCCUGCAGCUGGAAGCGGCUUGCAGAGGUUCUGCUGACGGCACCGAGCAGCAGAACCUGGGAGCUGUAAAUAAAGGUUUGGGAUAAACAGGACAGAUUUAUAUUUGAUGGUUUCGGCUCGGCGGACGCUCCGGCCUCAGAUCUCCAGGUGAAAACAUUUAGGAAAGUAUGUGGACCCACCCUGAGCCGGCCUGCAUGGCUGGAGGAUUACGGAGCCGACAGCAGAUCUUUGGACCCGGUUCUGCAGUCAAAUCAGGUCAGGACCGUCUCAGACGUUAUCCUGCUUCGAUGCAGCCGGAUCGGACCGCCGUCGUCCCGGUACCGACGGGACGGUUCAUCCAUCCGAGUCCGAAAAGAAACACCUGAUUUAUUUUUACGGUGUAAAACAGAAAGUUCAAAUGAAAACACCGAGGUGAGGAAGAUCACAGCUGGAUCGCCUCAGGAAGAACUGCUGGUUCUGGUUCUGGUUCUGGAACAUUUGUCUACAGAAACAAUCAUCAGAAAUCAAAUUAAACUUUCCUCUGUAAGAAAAGUUUUUCUCUGAAUCCAUCA